UACGUAGGGGGCAAGCGUUGUCCGGAAUCAUUGGGCGUAAAGCGCGUGUAGGCGGUCCGGUAAGUCGGCUGUGAAAGUCCAGGGCUCAACCCUGGGAUGCCGGUCGAUACUGCCGGACUAGAGUUCGGAAGAGGCGAGUGGAAUUCCCGGUGUAGCGGUGAAAUGCGCAGAUAUCGGGAGGAACACCAAUGGCGAAGGCAGCUCGCUGGGACGUUACUGACGCUGAGACGCGAAAACGUGGGGAG
rnacentral:rRNA from 1 species